CUGGAGGUAUCAGAAGUGCGAAUGCUGACAUAAGUAACGAUAAAGCGGGUGAAAAGCCCGCUCGCCGGAAGACCAAGGGUUCCUGUCCAACGUUAAUCGGGGCAGGGUGAGUCGACCCCUAAGGCGAGGCCGAAAGGCGUAGUCGAUGGGAAACGGGUUAAUAUUCCCGUACUUGGUGUUACUGCGAAGGGGGGACGGAGAAGGCUAUGUUGGCCGGGCGACGGUUGUCCCGGUUUAAGCGUGUAGGUGUGUGUUCCAGGUAAAUCCGGUUCACUUUAACACUGAGGCGUGACGACGAGGCACUACGGUGCUGAAGCAACAAAUGCCCUGCUUCCAGGAAAAGCCUCUAAGCAUCAGGUAACAUCAAAUCGUACCCCAAACCGACACAGGUGGUCAGGUAGAGAAUACCAAGGCGCUUGAGAGAACUCGGGUGAAGGAACUAGGCAAAAUGGUGCCGUAACUUCGGGAGAAGGCACGCUGACACGUAGGUGAAGUGAUUUACUCAUGGAGCUGAAGUCAGUCGAAGAUACCAGCUGGCUGCAACUGUUUAUUAAAAACACAGCACUGUGCAAACACGAAAGUGGACGUAUACGGUGUGACGCCUGCCCGGUGCCGGAAGGUUAAUUGAUGGGGUCAGCGCAAGCGAAGCUCCUGAUCGAAGCCCCGGUAAACGGCGGCCGUAACUAUAACGGUCCUAAGGUAGCGAAAUUCCUUGUCGGGUAAGUUCCGACCUGCACGAAUGGCGUAAUGAUGGCCAGGCUGUCUCCACCCGAGACUCAGUGAAAUUGAACUCGCUGUGAAGAUGCAGUGUACCCGCGGCAAGACGGAAAGACCCCGUGAACCUUUACUAUAGCUUGACACUGAACAUUGAGCCUUGAUGUGUAGGAUAGGUGGGAGGCUUUGAAGUGUGGACGCCAGUCUGCAUGGAGCCGACCUUGAAAUACCACCCUUUAAUGUUUGAUGUUCUAACGUGGACCCGUGAUCCGGGUUGCGGACAGUGUCUGGUGGGUAGUUUGACUGGGGCGGUCUCCUCCUAAAGAGUAACGGAGGAGCACGAAGGUUGGCUAAUCCUGGUCGGACAUCAGGAGGUUAGUGCAAUGGCAUAAGCCAGCUUGACUGCGAGCGUGACGGCGCGAGCAGGUGCGAAAGCAGGUCAUAGUGAUCCGGUGGUUCUGAAUGGAAGGGCCAUCGCUCAACGGAUAAAAGGUACUCCGGGGAUAACAGGCUGAUACCGCCCAAGAGUUCAUAUCGACGGCGGUGUUUGGCACCUCGAUGUCGGCUCAUCACAUCCUGGGGCUGAAGUAGGUCCCAAGGGUAUGGCUGUUCGCCAUUUAAAGUGGUACGCGAGCUGGGUUUAGAACGUCGUGAGACAGUUCGGUCCCUAUCUGCCGUGGGCGCUGGAGAACUGAGGGGGGCUGCUCCUAGUACGAGAGGACCGGAGUGGACGCAUCACUGGUGUUCGGGUUGUCAUGCCAAUGGCACUGCCCGGUAGCUAAAUGCGGAAGAGAUAAGUGCUGAAAGCAUCUAAGCACGAAACUUGCCCCGAGAUGAGUUCUCCCUGAGACUUAAAGUCUCCUGAAGGAACGUUGAAGACGACGACGUUGAUAGGCCGGGUGUGUAAGCGCAGCGAUGCGUUGAGCUAACCGGUACUAAUGAACCGUGAGGCUUAACCUUACA
rnacentral:rRNA from 1 species